UACGUAGGGUGCAAGCGUUAAUCGGAAUUACUGGGCGUAAAGCGUGCGCAGGCGGUUUUUGUAAGUUUUGUCGUGAAAGCCCCCGGGCUCAACCUGGGAAUUGCGAUGAAGACUGCAAGGCUUGAAUCUGGCAGAGGGGGGGUAGAAUUCCACGUGUAGCAGUGAAAAUGCGUAGAGAUGUGGAGGAACACCGAUGGCGAAGGCAGCCCCCUGGGUCAAGACUGACGCUCAUGCACGAAAGCGUGGGGGAGCAAACAGG
rnacentral:rRNA from 1 species